ensembl:rRNA 5S_rRNA 5S ribosomal RNA
GUCUAUGGCCACGCUACCCUAAAUAAGCCCAAUCUUGUCUGAUCUAGGAAGCUAAGCAGGGUUGAGUCUGAUUAGUACUUGGAUGGGAGACCACCUAGGAAGACCAGGUUCUGUAGGCA